rnacentral:snRNA from 1 species
AUGGGUUAGUCGAUCCUAA